rnacentral:rRNA from 1 species
ACUCCUACGGGGAGGCAGCAGUGGGAAUCUUGGACAAUGGGGGCAACCCUGAUCCAGCCAUGCCGCGUGAGUGAUGAAGGCCCUAGGGUCGUAAAAGCUCUUUCGCCCUGUAGAAGAAUAAUGACUGUAGCAGGUAAAGAAACCCCCGGCUAACUCCGUGCCAGCAGCCGCGGUAAUACGGAGGGGUUAGCGUUGUUCGGAAUUACUGGGCGUAAAGCGCGCGUAGCGGACUGGAAAGUUGGGGGUGAAAUCCCAGGGCUCAACCCUGGAACUGCCUCCAAAACUAUCAGUCUAGAGUUCGAGAGAGGUGAGUGGAAUUCCGAGUGUAGAGGUGAAAUUCGUAGAUAUUCGGAGGAACACCAGUGGCGAAGGCGGCUCACUGGCUCGAUACUGACGCUGAGGUGCGAAAGUGUGGGGAGCAAACAGGAUUAGAUACCCUGGUAGGCUCUGC